CCCUUAGAUGUUCUGGGCCGCACGCGUGCUACACUGAGUGGAUCAGCGGGUCAGGUUGCGCGAAAGUGUUUCCUAAUCUUGAAAUCCGCUCGUGAUGGGGAUUGACGGUUGCAAUUUUCCGUCAUGAACGAGGAAUACCUUGUAAGCGCGGGUCAUCAUCCCGCGCUGAAUACGUCCCUGCCCUUUGUACACACCGCCCGUCGCUCCUACCGAUUGAGUGGUCCGGUGAGGCUUUGGGAUCUGAGCAAAAAGAGCGUUUCGCUCGUUUGGCUCGGAAAACUCAGUCGAACCUUAUCAUUUAGAGGAAGGAGAGGUCGUAACA
rnacentral:rRNA from 1 species